ACCAGCACGCGGCGUUGUUAUUCGCGAGAAUCGUACGAUCGUUCGAUUCUCGAAAGUACCCGGCCGUGUCAUAAAUAUUGAUAUUGGAGGCGUGGCACGGGCCGAGAGACGUAAUAACCGAUUUUUGUUGCACUUCGCGGGUGGUUGACAAGAAAAGCGACGUUAAGCGACCUACGUUUUAGUGACGUAUUGUGACACGGCCGAUUUACGAACCCGUCUUUCGCAAUGCGUCAGCGUCGUCAGCGUCGUCUAUGCGCAGCAGCGAUUGAAGCACUACGUCUCAUUGUCAGUUUAAGGGCUUCUUUUAAUCGAGGUCUCAUUCAGGUAGCAAAUGGAAAUAUUCGAGCACAUGGACAACAAAGGAUCUCUUAACUUUUGUUAUUCUUUGUCAGUUUUCUUUCUCUUUCUCUUUUCUUGUUUCUAAGACAAGAAUUGUAAAGGGAGAAUAUCAAUUAGGUCUUAUUAAUUGUUAGUAUUCAAGUCUUAGUCAAUUGCUUAUCAGAGAUCAUUAGAGUUGAAGUAAGAAAAAUUGACCGAAAAUAAUUAAGGAAUACUUCUUCUCGUUUUAAAAAAGAAAUUGCGUCCGUACGGGAUUAACCAUCGAAUACGUAAAAUAUAGGUGCGAGAAAGGAGACAAAAUCCGUUUAUGUUUUGAUGAGAAACAAGCGUACAACGUGUUAAAAGAAGGGAGAAUACAAUGCGGACAAUAAUUGGCUUCCGUUGAUCCAACAACAGAAGAGGAAAGCUUAAUAUAUGGUGCAGUAACUUAAUUUCAGAUAACCCUGCUCGGAGAUGUGCAAACCAGAAGGGCUUGAAGAGAAAGAGGAAGAAAACUUGUUUGAGAAUUUAUUAUAGGAGAAUAUUAUA